rnacentral:lncRNA from 1 species
CUGUGCCCAGGAUUUGAACCUGCAAACCCUGGGCCACUGAAGCACAGCGUGCGAACUUAACUGCUAUGCCACCAGGCUGGCCCCUGCUUUAACAUUCUUUUCCAUUAGUUUCUCACAAAAACUCUGAGGUACAUAUUAUCCUGGCUUUUUCAGUAAGGAAAGCUGUAAUUUACUCAAGGCCAUACAAUUGAAAAGCAGUGGAGCUGGGACACACCCAGAACUUGAGACCCUUGGUCACGUGGAGAGACUGCAUGAUGGAAGGGAAGGCAGAACUUCUCCCUUGUCUGCAGUGUCUUAAAAGUAACGGAGCCCAAAAGAAUCCUCCUGCCAAAGAGACACAUCUUGAGAUUAGCCCUGAGCUAACUGCUGCC